AGUUUGUUGCAGAUGAACUAAUUUCAACUCAGGAUAGAUUAUCCAACAAAUCAACACCAUUUUUGGUAGAGGAGCGACCGAGGUUGCAUCUUGGGAGAUAAAAGGAACUACUGUUGUGCAAAAAGUGGCUGGUGCUGGCUCAUUUCGAUUUGUCCUAGACUUCUAUAUAAGGACGGAAAUUUUGCAGAAAAAGUAGAAAACUUUCCCUUUGAACUGUCUCUUAAUGAAAACAUUUACAUGCAGGCACAAUGACCCAGCUGGAGACCGCCAGGACAUUCAAGAAUAUCACCAGGUGGGAUGUCCUAUACUCCACUCCCUACUACAACAAGGUGCUCACGGAGGAACUGAUCCAGCAACUGUCUUCCAGUUGGGGAAUGUUGGAUAACAUUGGAUUCGCUGGAUUCAGUUCUUUCUCUAGGAGUAUUGCACGUGCAAGCUAAAAACAGUGAAUCUGAGGACGAGGGGAAUUUGUCAUACCUAGUCAAAGUAGGUUGUAUUGAAGACUCAACCUUCACCUUUAUCGACAAAGAUUCCAACUCACAGCUUAUUCUCUCCGACCCAAAAAUAAAAAGAUUUACCUUUAAAUUUUUCAACUUUUUGGAUUCCCAGACUGCAAUAUAUGUUUCGAAACCCUUUUUAAGAGAUUCGGAACACUUUUAUAAGAGUUCAUUUAAAUUAUUAGAAAAAUAAAUCUCAUUCUGUAGAUUUGCGGGGAUUAUUUUUUUGUUUAUUAUAGUGGUUGCAAUUUUAUUCUCAUUCUCUUGUAUAAUGU